GAUGAGAAGCUGUUGUCGGCCACUGAAUGGUUUUUAAUUGGAUGGGAACCAGAGGAAAUGCUUUACCCUGGAAAACUCCCACCUUCCCUCUCCUGUGGAGCUGGAGCGUGUGCCGCCCGCUCUGUCCUACCGGGAUGGAAGCACUGCAGCAUCUGUGGGUCAAGGAGGAGGUUUCCACCUCAGGAAAGGACACAGAGACACCACCCAGCUUCCAAAUCACUGUUGGAAUGCCCAGGGACAGCUCAAGGGCUUUGGACUCGCUGAAGAUUUGGCCACAUGCUGGGGGCAAGCAGGUCCUGGGAGCUGGAGAGAUGAGGACAAGUGGAGGAAACGACUCUGCUCUGCUGAGAAGAACUUCAUUAAUGGUGUCAAAACAAGGCCCCAAAGCCAGCAGAUAAAUGAACUGGGUUUGUGCCACCUGCCCUCCAGCUGCAGCUUGUAUUCCCGAAGAAAACAAGACAAUGAGCACCACAAUACACUUCUCUUUUUGCCUGUGUAACUUUUAUUAAAUACCCUAAAAAGCU